rnacentral:rRNA from 1 species
GAUUAUGGCUCAGGACGAACGCUGGCGGCGUGCGUAAUACAUGCAAGUCGAACGCUUUUUCUUUCACCGGAGCNUGCUCCANCGNAAGAAAAAGAGUGGCGAACGGGUGAGUAACACGUGGGUAACCUGCCCAUCAGAAGGGGAUAACACUUGGAAACAGGUGCUAAUACCGUAUAACACUAUUUUCCGCAUGGAAGAAAGUUGAAAGGCGCUUUUGCGUCACUGAUGGAUGGACCCGCGGUGCAUUAGCUAGUUGGUGAGGUAACGGCUCACCAAGGCAACGAUGCAUAGCCGACCUGAGAGGGUGAUCGGCCACACUGGGACUGAGACACGGCCCAGACUCCUACGGGAGGCAGCAGUAGGGAAUCUUCGGCAAUGGACGAAAGUCUGACCGAGCAACGCCGCGUGAGUGAAGAAGGUUUUCGGAUCGUAAAACUCUGUUGUUAGAGAAGAACAAGGAUGAGAGUAAAAUGUUCAUCCCUUGACGGUAUCUAACCAGAAAGCCACGGCUAACUACGUGCCAGCAGCCGCGGUAAUACGUAGGUGGCAAGCGUUGUCCGGAUUUAUUGGGCGUAAAGCGAGCGCAGGCGGUAUCUUAAGUCUGAUGUGAAAGCCCCCGGCUCAACCGGGGAGGGUCAUUGGAAACUGGGAGACUUGAGU